rnacentral:RNase_P_RNA from 1 species
CCAGACGGUCGGAUGGUUGCGGCCCCGUAAGGGAUCGAGGAAAGUCCGGGCUCCAUGGAAACACGGUGCCGGUUAACGGCCGGCGGGGGCGACCCCAGGGAAAGUGCCACAGAAAGCAAACCGCCUUUUGCUUCGGCAAAGGGUAAGGGUGAAAGGGUGCGGUAAGAGCGCACCGCGCUUCCGGUGACGGGAGCGGCAGGGUAAACCCCACCGGGAGCAAGACCGAGUAGGAACGGCCGGUGACUUCGGGUCACAGGCGGGUUUUCACGUCGUCGUUCGGGUGUGUCGCACGAGGCGUCCGGUAACGGGCGUCCCAGAUGAAUAACCAUCUAUCGCAAGUUUACUUGCGUGGACAGAACCCGGCUUACAGACCGUCUGGCAUU